CGAAAGAAAAGUUUAAGUUUUGAGAUGAUAAAGGUUAUAAUUUUUGUCACGUUUUUAGAUUAAGGUCAGUUUUGAGAUAGACAUACUACUAUUUAUACUUUAGGACGUGCCUAAUAUGAAACCAACUUUGUUUUCACUGUAACUGGUAUACUGUCAUAAGCUUAGAUGAGCAUUUCUUGUUGGUUCUCUCUUGUAAAGACUAUUUAUUUACUGAUAUAUUUUCUUUGAUUUGGAAGGCUCUACUUUUAUCCUUCGAUAUGCUCAACAAAUUGCUUAUAUCUUGUUCAGUGAUGCAAUUAGUCCUCCCAUUUUAAUGGUCAUUAAUGGAAAUAUGUUGUCUUUAGUAUUAUGCAUCUGUGUGCAGUAUAGACCUGUUUAUUAUUCUUUGUCUUGAGCCGAGGGCCUAUUGGAAACAACCUUUUCUACCUCUCCCGAGGUAGUGGUAUGGACUGCGUACAUUUUACCCUCCCCAGACCCCACUGUGUGGGAAUACACUGGGUUUUUUGUUGUUGUCAUUGAUUCAUUGAAAAUUUUGUUAAUAUAUGCCUGUAAUUUUGUUGAAUGCAUAUUUUAUAUAUACGUAUUUUUGUGUUCUAGUAAGAUUGCAAUUUGACUCGUAAUUGUUUAGCUUCUUAUCGCGUGUUCUAAAAGCAUUACUCCUUGCUAAAGAGUGUUUAAGAAAGUGAAGAUUAUGGUUGUGUGGUUUAGAAAUCCAUAUGUUGGAAACAAUACUUGGAUAUGUGUUUAAGUUAAUCAACUUACAUAUAGCUCAAACACAUGUACUCAGUUUUAGUGAUGACAUUUGGAAUGGAGUAAGAGAAGCUGCUUGGAUUGUCUGAAAUCAGAAUUCAACUAAAUAAUUCUCUUUCAACUUGAUCCGAUUAACACGUUUUUUUUGUUUUUGAGAAUGAAUAUAACUCUCAAACCUCACACAAUAUUAACUUAAGAUGAGAAUGUCAAGCUACUUUUAGUGGUGUUUUACAUGAUUGACUAUACCUAAAUUUAAGUUGGUUGCGUAUGUCAUUAAUUAGUUGACACCGAGGUAAAUACAAACGGACUACAAUAGUGCAUGUUUUGGCAGCAAAUGUGCUAGCUAUUUGUCUUUAUGUUAAUAGCUUUCUAAUGCCUUUCUACCAUCUUCAAUUCUAUCAAUACAUUGAUAAAUCAUUAAUAAUUAUACAGGAAAGAACUAUGAGAGCUUUUAAAGUACAAGAGCCGGAUUUUGUAUAUCUGAGGAAUAGUCUCCUAUUUAUUGUCUUUUUGGUUCAUUUGUGACAUUUCUAUUUGCGUAGAGCAUGGGUGUCUUUAUUUAAAUUUUUUUUCUAUAAAUCAUAUCAGUGGAAUCCUACAGAGAACUCCAUAAUCAAACACACCUAGAAGAAGGUCACAUCCAACUUAUAUACAAAAAGAACAUAUCAUUGGCGAAGACAAAUAAACAAACCAAAUUUUAUGUUGGAUGAUGUUUGGCAAAGCUAGAAAACAUAUUGGGCUUCUGAUGAGUUUAAGAACAAAUCUUAUAUUGCAACUCAAAAUCGAUGUAGUGAAACCGGUGGUCCGGGCACUGGUCCAAGCAAGCAUACCGGAGGUUCCAGGCAACCGAAAUCGGCCAUGAACCAAAUUCAUGGGAGAUAUUUAAGAAGUUGCACCAAAAAAGGAUGGCAGUUUUGUUGAUGCCAAGUCGAAGAGCAUUAAUGAUAAAAUGGAGGUCAUCAUAGCUACUGCUCUUUUGGGUCCAUCAGAUGAUUCAUCAGAAGAUCAAGAACUCGAUAUAAAUCUCAUGUAUUUUGAUGUUGUGGGUGGAGCAAAAAAAUAAUGUGUGUAUGGAUUGGGCUCUCAAGCUUCAACCUUAUAUAAAGAACAAAAUUCUGUCAAUUCAGCAAGUUUAGUGUCCAAUCAUGUUGCCGAAGAGCGCAUCAAAACACUUGAGAAAAAGGUGUCGCAAAUGAGAGAAAAUCAAGAGAGUGUUCUUCAAGAAUGUAUAGAAGCGAAGGUGCAACAACGAGUAGAGCAGGAGGUUUCCCGUUUGAGGCAACAAAGUGAUGAUCGAUUCAAAUCUAUGGAGGAGCAAUGGUCUCUCAUGAUGAGUGAUAUGACACUAUCUUCUCGCUCAUUUAGUAAUUCUACUCUCCCUAAUAGGGACUCAUCUA